rnacentral:rRNA from 1 species
AUACGAAGGGGGCUGGCGUUGUUCGGAAUCACUGGGCGUAAAGCGCGCGUAGGUGGAUCAAUUAGUUGAGGGUGAAAUCCCGGGGCUCAACCUCGGAACUGCCUUCAAUACUGUUGAUCUUGAGACCGAGAGAGGUGAGUGGAAUUCCUAGUGUAGAGGUGAAAUUCGUAGAUAUUAGGAAGAACACCAGUGGCGAAGGCGGCUCACUGGCUCGGUACUGACGCUGAGGUGCGAAAGCGUGGGGAGCAAACAGGAUUAGAAACCCUAGUAGUCC